AUUUGACUGCAAUGCACUCACAACCACUUAAUUCUGCUCUUAGUACCUUUUCUUAUCAACAAAACAAUUGGAUGCAUUUAAUGUCGCAUGACAGUAUGUCUUAAUUUUCGAUUGAUUAUUCUUGAUUAGAAAACUUAAAGAUGACACAUGUGACGUAUCCAGUAAUUGACAUGCAAGGAUGCAUGCAGAAUUGUUAAUGGUUCCAAUGCAUACGGAUGGAAUCGGUAACCAGCAGUGUCUUAUGAAAUGAAAUAAAAUAAUCUUACCUGUUUAUACCUUUUAUUGACAGAUUAAACUUAAGUGUUUGUAUUUGACUUGAUGGUUAAUAUAACUGAACGUUCACGCUUCUUUUGUCUUUUCUGAUUGUAGAUUUACCGUUCCUUUAUGCAAUUGAAUUAAACAAUAAACAGUUAUAUACGUACACUA